rnacentral:rRNA from 1 species
ACGGCCGCGGUACUCUGACCGUGCAAAGGUAGCACAAUCACUUGUUCUCUAAAUAGGGACUAGAAUCAACGGCAUCACGAGGGUCUUACUGUCUCCCUUUUCUAAUCAGUGAAACUGAUCUUCCCGUGAAGAAGCGGGAAUAACUUUAUAAGACGAGAAGACCCCAUGGAGCUUCAAACUCAAUAGUUACCCCAUGCAAACUACACGACAACUUAGGGAAAUAACUAUUAAUUUUAGGUUGGGGUGACCACGGAGAAUAGCCUAACCUCCGCAAUGAAAAGAAUGAUAUCCUUAUCUAUGAGAUACAUCUCUAAGAAUUAACAAAUUAGCAUAAAAUGAUCCGAUCUAUUUACCAUUCGAUCAAUGAACCAAGUUACCCUGGGGAUAACAGCGCCAUCCACUUUGAGAGUUCAUAUCGACAAGUGGGUUUACGACCUCGAUGUUGGAUCAGGGUAUCCCAGUGGUGCAGCCGCUACUAAAGGUUCGUUUGUUCAACGAUUAAAACCCU